rnacentral:rRNA from 1 species
UGGGGAAUCUUGCGCAAUGGGCGAAAGCCUGACGCAGCAACGCCGCGUGUGUGAUGAAGGUCUUCGGAUCGUAAAGCACUGUCGCGAGGGACGAGAGGCCCUGGGUGAACAAUCCAGGGAUAGGACGGUACCUCGAGAGGAAGCACCGGCUAACUCUGUGCCAGCAGCCGCGGUAAUACAGAGGGUGCGAGCGUUGUUCGGAAUUAUUGGGCGUAAAGCGCUUGUAGGCGGCACGAUAAGUCUACUGUGAAAGCCCUUGGCUCAACCAAGGAAGAGCAGCAGAUACUGUCGAGCUUGAAUGCCGGAGAGGGUCGCGGAAUUCCCGGUGUAGAGGUGAAAUUCGUAGAUAUCGGGAGGAACACCAGUGGCGAAGGCGGCGACCUGGACGGACAUUGACGCUGAGACGCGAAAGCGUGGGGAGCAAACAGGAUUAGAUACCCGCGUAGUCC